CCUAAACGGACCACGUGAAAAGUUUGUGAAACAUUUUCCAAGACAAAACUUCACGCUCAACGUCGAUCAUGUUGAUUGUAAUGGGCUAUAAAAACGAAAUGUAUAGCUGACUCGGUGGCGAAAUUUUUGCAAUCGAAAAACUAGUGAAUUUCCACUUCAAAAACUUAUGAACAAAGUGUAAAGCGAUUUGGUUUCCACGUGAUUACAAGAAGAGCAUACAGAAGAGCCCAGAGCAGAAAUUGGAAUAGAAUAUGUCGCAGCAUGGUUUUGGAUGUACUCUUGUAAAGUAAAGGAACUUGAAACAUUUUGAUGCAUACCAAAGUAGGAUAGAAGGGAAAGCAUCCGGAGGUCACUGGCUUGCACACUUGAUCGAAGCAUAAGAAACAGAAAUGUGUUCAUGACGCAAAAUGUUUACUACUCAGAGCGCACAGCGAUUCUCAUACACGAAAAAUUAUACUGCUUUUCAUGCUCAUCAUGAUUUCAUGGCAACAAUGAAAUAUAAAUACUGUUUGUUUUAACAGACGAAUGAUGUCCAUGAAAUCAUACUAAGAAUUCAAAAUAUGACGUAUGCAAAUCUUUCAAUGGCAUGUAAAUGUAUCGGAAAACUUAAUUAAUUAUGGAAUAAAUCAUGUUUUUAGCUGA